AAAACUUGUCAGAUUCACACUAUUUUUGUUCAUCUGUCUCACCUGGCCAGUAGUGUGACAGCCCCGGCCACUACAGGUGAUGCAACACUGG